rnacentral:sRNA from 1 species
UUGAAUGUUCGGUGAGAGAUGUUUCGGAGCUGAGUAGCCAAUGAAUUCCCGUCUUGUAAGUGGAAUCCGUUCGUACACGAUUGCAGGAAAAAGGCUCGAGUAUCAAACGUGUACCGCUUGAGCAACCAUCAGGCAAGAUGGCUUGUGGUAAAUUCAGCUCCAACGUUAUUGAAACGGUGUAUGGCACACUUGAUGAGCCUUAAGAAACACUGCAAAAAAGCAUGAGGGGCGAUAUCGAGGAUCCCGAUCACCAGCGCUCAGCCAUCCCGAUCGAAGCUUUGGCCAUCAGGAAAUGACUGAAGAUGAGCAGGUUUGUAGCAGGUUGGCUGCCUAGCCAGUUGUGUGCGGUGGAUAGCAUUUGGAUACAAACCUGACCUCUGGCAGGAGACGAAUUUUGAACUAUCCACUGCAUCUCUGGACAGCAUAUUCCCUCCCAACUAGUCUUAAACUCUGAGAAACCAGCACUUGCAAUCUGCGUGAGAGAUUACUUUUUGACUUUGAUAGUACCAGAUGUACAGUUCGCCAGCCAACUCCCCGAAGAGCAGAAGGGCCACAAAUGGAAAUCACGGUCACCCCUUAACCCCAACAACAACCAAAUUCCUUGGGCUUUGCUGAUAGUCAAACACCGCCUCCACCCACGCCUCCUUCACCUCAGUCUGCUCACGCAGAAACAGCCACCGAUCCACCACAAUCACUGAUUCCACAACCCCAGCACUAAACGCCAUGAGACUCCACACAAUGCUAAGGUUCUUCCGAUACACUGCAUACCGCGCCUCAUACCCUUGAAACACUGUUUCAGGCAACCCGCAUACCUUUUCCCGAAUCACCUCCCCGUAAUGCGCAUCCCGCGAUAACUUCUGAAUAGCUGCGUGCGCAUAUGCGGCAAACGAAACGAACGCAGCCUUACGCAUCGAUCCAACAAUCAACGGCGUACCGCUGGCCCCCUCCUCCGCCUUGCCUCCGCCUUCCAAGGGUACAUCGCCAAUUGGACCCCCAAUCCCGGGAACAGGCACAACGCCAUAAUCCACC